rnacentral:rRNA from 1 species
CCUACGGGAGGCAGCAGUAGGGAAUCUUUCACAAUGGGCGAAAGCCUGAUGGAGCAACGCCGCGUGCAGGAUGAAGGCCUUCGGGUUGUAAACUGCUUUUAUAAGCGAGAAAUAUGAUGGUAACUUAUGAAUAAGGAUCGGCUAACUACGUGCCAGCAGCCGCGGUCAUACGUAGGAGCCGAGCAUUAUCCGGAGUGACUGGGUGUAAAGAGUUGCGUAGGUGGCAUAAUAAGUAGCUAGUGAAAUCUGGUGGCUCAACCAUUCAGACUGUUAGCUAAACUGUUAAGCUCGAGACCGUGAGGGGUAACUGGAAUUUCUAGUGUAGGAGUGAAAUGCGUAGAUAUUAGGAGGAACACCAGUGGCGAAGGCAGGUUACUGGAACGGUUCUGACACUAAGGCACGAAAGCGUAGGGAGCAAACGGGAUUAGAUACCCUGGUAGUC